rnacentral:rRNA from 1 species
UACAGAGGGUGCAAGCGUUGUUCGGAAUUAUUGGGCGUAAAGGGUGCGUAGGCGGUGCGGUAAGUCUCUUGUGAAAUCUCCGGGCUCAACUCGGAGCCUGCAAGGGAAACUGCCGUGCUUGAGUAUGGGAGAGGUGAGUGGAAUUCCCGGUGUAGCGGUGAAAUGCGUAGAUAUCUGGAGGAACACCGGUGGCGAAGGCGGCAUCCUGGACCAACACUGACACUGAGGAGCGAAAGCCAGGGGAGCAAACGGG